GAUUUAUUGAUUGCGGUCUGUUUAAUGUCAGAAAUCAAAUUAAAAUCGCUGCACAUCUAUCUGUAAUUCGAAGACGUCGAAGAAGGGAAAACACUGAAUUAGGAAGCGUUCUGCGCAUGAGGAGACGGAUUUGGGGCUGGUUAGUUAUUCCGCAACCACGAUUGUACCUGAAACCAAAAAUGAUCGAGUUUCAAGAAGAAGUUUCCACCGAUUGGCUUCAUUUUGCUGUCAUUUCAAAUUCACUGUGUGUGCUGUGAAUAUUUUCAGUCUGGUGGUCACAUAGGUCGCGGAAAAAACUCAGAAAUGGCCUCAGUUCCGAUAAGCAGGAGCUACGUUAAGAAACUCUCCAACACAGAGAAAAGCAGCUCCAAAAAUGCUUUUUCCCUUAAACGACAAUGUCCACAAGAGGAAGAAGAUCGCAAUCAAUCUGUUUCCAAUACUGGAAAAAAUGGACUCUCGUUAACUGAUUACAGGGUUUCUGUCGUUAAAGAAGUAAGUGCCCUACGCGUGGAUGUCGGGAGAAAAGACAAAAAUGUCGAUAAAGUCGGGUGAAGUUUAGGCCAUGCAUGGAUGAGAAUUAGUUUUUCUCUACAAAGCAUAAUCUCAGGAAUGUAUGGAAAGUUAUUUUUACAUGGACAUUUAGUCAAGUAAUAGAAAGUCUUAUCAAGGAACUUUUACUUACAUUGGAAAGAAAAAUUGUACAGAGGAGUCUAAUAUUUGUUUGAAAGGGUUUUUUACUUGCUUUUCUGUACAAGAAUCAUUGAUAUGUAUGGAAGUGACUGACUUCCUCCAGAUGGGGUUGUUAAAAACAUGAUUUUAACCAUGUAAUCUUUAAAGAAUUAUUUAGGGUAAGUUGUUUAUCAAAACCAUGUGCUACCACACAUGAACUCUAUAUUAGAUCUAAUUAUGCAUCUUACUCAGCCAGGAUUUAGACAAAUUUUAUUAGAAAAAAAUAGAUAUGAUUUACAAAACCAAGCAAUAUAAUUAUUUGGUGUUAACCAAUGGAAUAAGUUCCCUUUCAUUGUGUUAGCCCAUUUUUUAACCUAAAUUUUAUACCACAGUAUAGUCACUUUAUUGUUAUAUGUUAUGACUUCAGAUUCCCCUGUGUUUCUGUUCCAUUAACCCAAAAGAGCUAUCUCUUUGUUUUUAUGUCUUAGAAUAUUGAGCUUAGAUUGGACUUAUUAGUAUUAGAAGUAUGCCGUUAUUCAACCAGUCCAACCUACAUGUAUUUUUGUACAGAAACAACCAAUAUUGGGCUGGACAGACAUCCAUGACAUAUCACAUCUCAAUGAAUAUACUCCUUGUUAUGAAACAGUAUAUUUAUGAUGCUUAAACCAUUAAACUCCCAUGAGUGACCAAGACAUAAUUUCUCCUUACAAUAUCCAUACAAUAUCAACCAGAUAAGUAAUGAGAAUAAAGAAAAAUAUCCUUUUGAGAAUAAUUAGUUGAUCAAUACUAAAUUCUCUGAACUAACACUAUAAGAAUUGUAUGGUUGACAGUAAGGAGAAUUACAAAAUUGAUUUGGGAGUUAAAGGGUUAAUUGUAUAAGCAACCUCAAACUCAUUGCAGGAUAAGUGACACAGCCGUAUUUAGAACCUGAGCUUUGCUUGGAAUUCAAAUCUUCUUUACAUGCAUUAAAAACUGGACAAAAUGUUUGACCAUCGAAGGAGUCAGGUAAUCCUACAUUUGACCUCACCAUGUCUAUUGGCCCCCCCAUCACUUCCAACCUAUAUUAUUUAAUGGAUGGGUUCCAUUAGAUAAUAUUUAAUAUGCUACUUAUAAUUAAUGUUAAACUUCAUCUAUGAACUAUUUAACAUAUGUGUACAAUGACAGAUAAGUAGAUAUCCUAGAUAGCUCUUAUGCAUGGUGACCCCAUUUACUGCAAAUUCACCCUAAGCUUCCUUUGUGUACUAACAUUUUCAUAAGUCUUUGUUAAUUUCUUGCUGUUUUCAUGAAGGUAUAUAUUCUUUUGAUUUCAGUGUUUUGGGAAUACUUUAUGGUUUACAAAUAAAAGCUCCACACCUUGAAAGUGAUGAGGCUUGGAGGUGAAAUUGCAUAUUGUGAUCUAAACAUGCAUAAGGCCUUUAAUUAUGAUAAGAGACUUUAAGCAUAAGUGACUGAUAUAUAAUAACCUCCUAGUAAUUUUGUUAAGCUCAUGGAUCUAGAUUUUUCACCAAAACAGGUAGAAUUUCUUGUUACAAGCAUUCGCUACUCUGUGAAAAGAACCAUUUGGUUACCAAUCCAAUUUAAUCUUAACAAGUACUUGAACUAUAUUUAAUGUGUGCGUGUCAACAAAAUCAAUAAACUGACUCUUACUUUUUGCAAACUGUUUUUUAUAAAAUGUGUGAAACAGGUUCUGACCAUAGUUGCAAUAAGUAAAGGUGGUUCUGAACCUACUGAAAGAUAAGUCUAGUUAUGUGGACUGGAAUAGAAUAAUUCAAGACAUUAAAUUAAAGC